rnacentral:lncRNA from 13 species
GGACAUUCAAGCAACCCUAGGGAGAUUCAUGUAGAAAAGAACUAAGACCUCCUGCCAAAAGCCAUUUGAGUCAGCCCUCUUGGAAGUAGACCCUUUAGCUCUAAUAAAGCCUUCAGAUGACUGCAGCUCUAGGCACCAUCUUAACUGCAAACUCCUGAGAGACCCUGAGCCAAAAUCACCCAGCUAAGCCAUUCUUAAAUUCCUGUUCUAUACUGUGAGAUCAUAAAUGUUUACUGUUCUCAGCUGAAAGGUGACAGAGUGGGAGUCAUGUCAUCAUCUCUGGCUGGACAUGGAGGAAUUACAGUGAGUGACCUUCAAGAAAAACCCUUAGUGCUCCUUCAGUACCCAGUAAAUGAGGAUUAUCAUACAACUAUGAUUACAGAGUGUGCUUCGACACAAAACCUGACAUCCAGAUAAACCAAGGCGUCAUUGAGUUCUCUAAAAAGACUCCCAAGAGUUCUCUAUAAGACAGAUUCCUAUUAAAGUCUCAGAACACGCUCUGUGCAAGAUCAUCGCUGGAGAGCAUACAUGUUGGGUAACUCUUUUUCCCUCUGCCUUCCCUAAAUUUGGUCUGGGAUACCGUUUUGGGGUUCACACAUAUCCUUCAACCCAACAGAGUCUCCCAUCUCCAUAUCCAAGAAGAGACCAGGGUAAGUGGGGAUCAGGAAAGAAUAUGUAUCCUUCUUCCAGUCAUGAAUGAACUUAGAUAUCAGGGUGGACAAAUUUCUGAGUGUUAUUUCUCCAUGGCUUCCCCUGAUGUGGCCUAAGGUGGAUGAGGAGGCAUUUCUCCCAGCCCUUAUCACCUAAUUCUUUCUAUUCUGGACCCUCAAAUAGACACUUGGUUCUAUAUCACCUUUAUUUUGGCUGCCCUGUCUGACCCAUCUCUCCUCUUUUUAACAGAGAAUUGCUGCUGCCCCACUCCUGUGCCAAAAUCUGCUCCAAGGGAUCCUCUCCUAGUCAGAGGGCUGUACUCUGAGCACCAAUAUUAGCUACAACACCAAGAUUUCCCAUUACACAAACCGGAUCCUCGAAGUCAUCCACACCAAAUGAAUCUCUAUUCUUUCUCCCAGUAGCCUGAGAACUAGAUUUACCAGCCUUGGCCCUUUCCUUCCUUUCUAGUUUCAGGACAGGAUGGGAACAGAGUCCUUGGCUGUGAGAAUGGGACCAAUAACAAAAUAAAGAUGACAGAAGAGUCA